rnacentral:lncRNA from 1 species
GAUCGUGUUCAGUCAUGCCGUCCUUGCGCGGCGUGAUUGUCGGUGAGUCAGGUUAAAUUCUUAAAUAGGUCGCGCCUGCGCCUAAUUCAGUCUAUAAAAGCCUGCACAUUCAGUUUUGCUAGCUACAAUGCAGUGCGGCUGGCGUGAGCUCUCCCCACGAUGCGCUUCGAGCGUGUCGAUUUCGCCGUUCUUUAUGUUGGCGUUAACGACCUUGAAAGCAACAUGGAUCCACAAGAAAUGUGCGACAACAUCAAGGUAAGUCUACUGAAAUCACAAAAUUUGAAACAAUAAGCGCUAAUAGUUGUGUUUUCUUUUAAAUUUUAGGCCUUGAUUGUUCAACGAGACGGCCCCCGUCGUGCUGGUUUUCAAGGUGCUCCCUCGCUGCCUAGAAGAUGCUGAUGCGGAAUAGAAAAUGCAAAAACGUCGCUUGCUCAACCGCAAAUUGACGGCUACGCUGAAGCGCAUGCCGUGUCUGCGGAAUUUGAACCCCGAGCUUUCCAGAGUUCCUUGGAAAAUCCUCCCAUGCACCUGCCAUGUACAUUGCCCUCCUCCUCGAUGUGGCGUGCAAGAUGGCAGCAGCAGCUGUGGGAACAGUAGAAGAGGCGAAGAAAGGUCCACUUUAUAAUAGGUUGUAUGUAAAUAAAACUGAUCGACCUCAACCGA